GUUAAAAAAAAAUGUUUUGUAAAUUACAUUAGGCGUGUCUAACUUAUAACUAAUAUUUUUAAUUUUUGUGUUAAUUUUCGGAAAUGAUAUAUACUUGAUAUCACAUUCUCUUCUUUUAUUUAUGCUUUUCGAUUUAGUUGAAUUGUAUAUUUUAUUUAUCCUUUGCUUUAUGAUUGGUUCGAAAAAUGACCGUGGUUAUUUGUUUAUUAAUAAUAGAUUUUUUAUUUUUUCAAGGUUUUUGUUCUAUACUCCCAAUGUGACAAUUUAAUGGCUCUAUGUGUAAGUGCUAUCUAUCGAUACUGUGAAUUUCACAACAAUCGCCCAGAGUUCUGAUUUUUGUCAGCUUGGCAAACUCCACUGUUUAUAUUUACGUGAUUCAUAUAAAACACCACUUGAAAAUACGAAAAUUUCAAUUAAAAUAAGUCUAAUUUUAGGUCUGCCCAGCAACUACCCCAAGAGCUUGCAAAAGGCCGCUUCUGCUUCAAUAAUUCGGGAAAUUAGAUGCAGACAAUUGACCGAUUUAUCGGCCUUUGAUGACGCUGAGCCGGUUUACUUAUCAUGGAAUCAUUUGCCGAAACGCCGGCCAUUAACCAAAGCAAGUCAUUCGGUUCUACGGGGGCACAAAAUGGAAAGUCAUAAAAACAUGGUGAUCAGCAAAACUACUAUUAAAACUCGAAAACCGUAAUUUUGGUAUUUUUAAUGCGACUGACCAUUUAAUCCACUGCAAAGUAAUUAAAAAUUGAUUUUCACUGAA
rnacentral:lncRNA from 1 species